rnacentral:rRNA from 1 species
UUGCUUAAGAUUAGGUCGUUGGUAAUUUAAAAGCUUACCAAGCCGAUGAUCUUUAGUUGAUCUGAGAGGAUGAUCAACCACACUGGAACUGAAACAAGGUCCAGGCUAAUACGUUGGCCAGCAGUGCGGAAUAUUGGACAAUGAACGAAAGUUUGAUCCAGCAAUACUAACUGGGUGAUGACGGCUUAUUUAAGUUGUAAGAUCCUUUAAUUAAAGAAGAUAAUGACACUAUUUAAUUGAACCAGUCCUGGCUAAUACUCGUGCCAGCAGCCGCGGUAAUACGGGAAGGGCAAAGCGUUAUCCGGCAUGACUGGGCGUAAAGGGUCCGUAGACCGUAAAGUAAGUUUUUUGUCAAAUUUCAAGACCCAAUCUUGAACUAGCAACUAAUACUACUUUACUUGAGUUCAGUACAGAAAGGUAGAAUUUUACACGAUAAAGGUGAAAUUUGUAGAUAUGUAAAGGAAUGCCAAUAGCGAAGGCAACUUUUUAGUAUGAACUGACGUUGAGGGACGAAAGCGUGGGUAGCAAAUGGGAUUAGAGACCCCAGUAGUCCACGCUGUAAAUUCUGAGUGCUAUAAUUUAAUUGCAAUAUUUCAGUAUAUUGUUUAGAUUUCUAAGCUAACGCUAUAAGCACUCCGCCUGAAGAGUACGGUCGCAAGAUUGGAACUCAAAGGAAUUGACGGGGGUCUAACACUAGUGGUGGAGCAUGUGGUUUAAUGCGAUAAUCCGCGCAAAACCUUACCAAUUUUUGACAUAUUUGAAUAGUUUCUUUUCAGAAAACGCUUUAAGGCUAACUAUUUUUUUACAGGUGUUGCACGACUGUCGUCAGCUCGUGUCGUGAGAUGUUUGGUUAAGUCCUGAAACGGGCGUAACUCUUGCUUUU